UUGAGCUUGAUCCUGGCUCAGAUUGAACGCUGGCGGCAGGCCUAACACAUGCAAGUCGAGCGGUAACAGGGGUAGCUUGCUACCCGCUGACGAGCGGCGGACGGGUGAGUAAUGCAUAGGAAUCUGCCCGAUAGUGGGGGAUAACCUGGGGAAACCCAGGCUAAUACCGCAUACGUCCUACGGGAGAAAGGGGGCUCCGGCUCCCGCUAUCGGAUGAGCCUAUGUCGGAUUAGCUGGUUGGUGAGGUAAAGGCUCACCAAGGCGACGAUCCGUAGCUGGUCUGAGAGGAUGAUCAGCCACAUCGGGACUGAGACACGGCCCGAACUCCUACGGGAGGCAGCAGUGGGGAAUAUUGGACAAUGGGGGCAACCCUGAUCCAGCCAUGCCGCGUGUGUGAAGAAGGCCCUCGGGUUGUAAAGCACUUUCAGUGAGGAAGAACGCCUGGUGGUUAAUACCCAUCAGGAAAGACUCCUCCCAGAGAGCCGU
rnacentral:rRNA from 1 species